GUGUGUGUGUGUGUGUGUGGAUGAUGUGGUGUGUGUGGGUGGAUGGGGGUGUGGUGGAUGGGGGUGUGUGGUGUGUGUGUCAGGGUUGCAUGAUUAUGGCAAAAAUUAUAAUUGCGAUUAUUUUGCCUGAUAUUUCUAUUCAUCAUUUUGAUAAACAUAUCAAUUAGACAUUCUUUGGCAACAAAUGUAUCUAUAAAAAAACAAUGAUUAAGCAAUAUAAGUUUGCAAUUCUUGCAAAUCUGAUUUAUUAAUUUUUUCAUCAUUUAUCUUUUAAAUGACGGGCCAUAACCCUAUAUGGAUGAAGAAGAUGAGGAUGAUCACCUAUCUGAGUGCAUCAACCACUUGGCCCUCGUCCUGUCCCCUCUCCUGACCUCCUCCUUGUCUCCUAGGCCCUGUCCCCUCUCCUAACCUCCUCCUUGGCCCUCCCCUUGUCCCCUCUCCUAACCUCCUCGUCUCCUAGGCCCUGUCCCCUCUCCUAACCUGCUCCUUGUCUCCUAGGCCCUCGCCCUGUCCCCUCUCCU